rnacentral:rRNA from 1 species
GUAUAAGAGACAGCCUACGGUGGGCAGCAGUGGGGAAUAUUGGACAAUGGGCGCAAGCCUGAUCCAGCCAUGCCGCGUGUGUGAAGAAGGCCUUCGGGUUGUAAAGCACUUUCAGUAGGGAGGAAGGCUUUGGGCUAAUACCCUGGAGUACUUGACGUUACCUACAGAAGAAGCACCGGCUAAUUUCGUGCCAGCAGCCGCGGUAAUACGAAAGGUGCGAGCGUUAAUCGGAAUUACUGGGCGUAAAGCGCGCGUAGGCGGUGUGUUAAGUCGGAUGUGAAAGCCCAGGGCUCAACCUUGGAAUUGCAUCCGAUACUGGCACGCUAGAGUGCAGUAGAGGGAGGUGGAAUUUCCGGUGUAGCGGUGAAAUGCGUAGAGAUCGGAAGGAACACCAGUGGCGAAGGCGGCCUCCUGGACUGACACUGACGCUGAGGUGCGAAAGCGUGGGGAGCAAACAGGAUUAGAUACCCGAGUAGUCGUGGG